AAUAUAUUAAAAGAUCAUGCGAUAAAUAAGAGUACUAAGUUAAAUUUGAAAAAAUAAAAAAAAAUAAAAAAAUGUACAUACCAAAGUAAAUUACUUCCUUUCCUUCCGGCUUCCAUACUUACUUACCUUAUUAGUUUUUCCAAAGCCUCUGUAUAGAAAAGAAUCAUUUAUUUGAUUAAAUCAAAUAUGAUACGCCCACCUUUCCUUUCCUUUUCUCAUAAUUCUUUCUAUUUGUUUUUUAAUAAUUACGAAAAGAAUUAACUAUAGAAAAGGUAUUAAAUGGUGACUCAAAAGAUGAAUAGGCCGGUCCUCAUAUAAAAACAAAAUACAAUCACGUGGUUAGUAAUACUAAAUACAUAUAUAUAUUAUAUUGUAGUUAGCCUGAAUUUCUUGCCCAUUUUGUGGUUUUGUGGUGAAAAAGAUGGAGCCUCCACCAGCACAAGCCAUAGACACUUCCACCAAGAAUUUUCAGCCUGGAGAAGAUGAACAGGAAAAAGCUCUUAAUGAAUGUUGUUCUUGUUUCUAUGACUGCACAGAGACAUGUUUUAACUACUUAUGCUGCUACAACUUCUGUUGAAAGACUAUGAAUGAAGAUUAUUAGUAUUACUAUUAUUAUUAUAUGCCUUUCAUGUUUGGAAAGGAGAGUCAAGAAUAUAAAAUAAUGUAAUUGUUAACUAGUAGUUUGUGUUUUUAUUUACUUUUAAUAAUUAAUAUUAUUAUGUCAUUUGUCUAACUUUGGUGAUCUUCAUUACUUUUUAUAUAGAUGGGCUUUUUAUUUUGGCAAAUAUGUAAUUUAAUUUUGGUGCCAAAGUAGAAGAAAUCAAGGUGAAUCUGGUGUUCUGUUGAAGAUGAUCUGUGAGUGUCAGAGUGAUGUGAUUAUAAAACCAAUUUCAAGUUAAUUAUUUGUUUUUAAA